rnacentral:lncRNA from 1 species
CCCAAACUAGAGUUUCUAAUUAUUCAGCCAAGACCAGAGCCAUUUAGUCUUGUGGUAGCACUGUUUUCCUGGGUGGUCGCUCCAUGUUCCAAUUAAAUAUGGUAAUCUUGUAUUAACAAAAGGUAUAUCAUAAACAGAAUAAGUUCACCAUGUUGUUCAUUAGAACCACCAUAACCCAAGUAUAGCAGCUAAGCAUAGCUACCCAACAGAAAGGUAAACCCAGGUGGGCAAGGAAUAAUCAUAAAAACUAGGCAAACCUUAAUAGGACCCAUCAAAUUUAAUGCAAGCAUAUGCAAUAGUGAUUAAAUAAAGUUAUUGGGACAAAAGCACAAGGACACACUUGCCUUUCUCCAGCGACAAGUUACUUCUUACUGCUCUUCGGCUCUUGCUCUCUUGAAACUCUUAAUCUUCAAAGCUUUCG